AAGUGAUUGCAUUACAAGCGUUAUCACAGUAUUUAAUAGCAUCUAAACCCAGAGACAUAUCUCUAACGUGCAAUAUUUCGACGAGUCAUAACAAAGAAUUGGUGAAAACGGUGAAAAUUAACAAUGAAAAUGCCUUUGUCCUUCAACAAUUAGAGGUAAAGAAACUAAAUGGAAUCUUAUAUGUCAACGUGAGUGGAAAAGGAGUUGGAUCAUUAUCAGUAAAAUUAAGAUAUAAUGUAGCAAAUGUUGGAUAUCAAAUAUGCAAUUACAAAAUUACUGUACGUGUUUCUAAAGUAAAGGAGCAGUUUUCAGUACAGAAGAAUGGCAUUCAUUAUGAAGAAGGAAAUAAAACAGAUCCAGAAGUAUACAGAUCUGAAUG